GAUGAACGCUGGCGGCGUGCCUAAUACAUGCAAGUCGAGCGAACAGACGAGGAGCUUGCUCCUCUGACGUUAGCGGCGGACGGGUGAGUAACACGUGGAUAACCUACCUAUAAGACUGGGAUAACUUCGGGAAACCGGAGCUAAUACCGGAUAAUAUAUUGAACCGCAUGGUUCAAUAGUGAAAGACGGUUUUGCUGUCACUUAUAGAUGGAUCCGCGCCGCAUUAGCUAGUUGGUAAGGUAACGGCUUACCAAGGUGACGAUGCGUAGCCGACCUGAGAGGGUGAUCGGCCACACUGGAACUGAGACACGGUCCAGACUCCUACGGGAGGCAGCAGUAGGGAAUCUUCCGCAAUGGGCGAAAGCUUGACGGAGCAACGCCGCGUGAGUGAUGAAGGUCUUCGGAUCGUAAAACUCUGUUAUUAGGGAAGAACAAAUGUGUAAGUAACUAUGCACGUCUUGACGGUACCUAAUCAGAAAGCCACGGCUAACUACGUG
rnacentral:rRNA from 1 species